GAAAGAGUCGGCUCUUUGCUAGAGGGAAUCUUUGAUGUGUCGACUCGCGCGUGCGGACAAGUGCGAGAAUAAGGACAACGCUUCGUAAGAGCUGCGUCCUGGUAACGGAUCCCGGAGCCUGUCCCAGGAACGUCAGGAGUGAAGACUUUAAGAACGCCUUUGACAAAAAGAAGAACAUAUUGAACUCGUUCUCAUGGCCGGAUCGGGAAGCUGUCGGAAGGUUGUGAUGGACUUUACCAGGAA